rnacentral:rRNA from 1 species
UCAGGUAGAGAAUACCGAGGCGUUCGGGUGAACUAUGGUUAAGGAACUCGGCAAAAUGCCCCCGUAACUUCGGGAGAAGGGGGGCCAUUCCUGGUGACGGCACUUGCUGCCAGAGCUGGGGGUGGCCGCAGAGACCAGCGAGAAGCGACUGUUUACUAAAAACACAGGUCCGUGCGAAGCCGUAAGGCGAUGUAUACGGACUGACGCCUGC